GUCAAGAUAUAUAAAACAAUAUAAACAUGGAAAAUUUAACUUUUUUUAAAGCUAUUUUUUUAAUUGCUUGUAAGAAAAUGAACUUUGUUUUGAAAUCUUUGAUGUGCUGCAUAUUAAACUUAGAAUAUGUUUUGUGUUAGUCUUUGUAAAAUGUGAAGUAUUAAAUUUAUUUAUUUUCAUGUGAACAAAUUAACCUAAAUAGGUGAAAUGUAUUUAAAUGCAGGGGUUGGAGAUUGAAGGGGAGUUGCCUGAGAAAAAGACUUGUUAUGAAGGAGUAUUUUAUAAUUACUUUAGCAUAGGAAUGGAUGCUCAGGUGGCUUACGGCUUUCAUCAUUUACGUAAUGAGAAACCUUACCUGGCACAAGGACCAAUUUCUAAUAAGCUGAUCUAUUCUGGUUAUAGUUGCGAUCAAGGGUGGUUCUUUACACCUUGUACAAGUGAUCC